rnacentral:tRNA from 1 species
GGGCAAGUGGCGGAACUGGUAGACGCGCAGGUCUCAAAAACCUGUGUUCUCACGAGCAUGAGGGUUCGAGUCCCUCCUUGCCCA